rnacentral:rRNA from 1 species
UACGUAGGGUGCAAGCGUUAAUCGGAAUUACUGGGCGUAAAGCGUGCGCAGGCGGUUAUGCAAGACAGAUGUGAAAUCCACGGGCUCAACCUGGGAACUGCAUUUGUGACUGCAUAGCUAGAGUGCGGCAGAGGGAGAUGGAAUUCCGCGUGUAGCAGUGAAAUGCGUAGAUAUGCGGAGGAACACCGAUGGCGAAGGCAAUCUCCUGGGCCUGCACUGACGCUCAUGCACGAAAGCGUGGGGAGCAAACAGG